rnacentral:rRNA from 1 species
CGCCUGGGGAGUACGGGUGAGGUAACGGCUCACCAAGGCAUCGACGGGUAGCUGGUCUGAGAGGAUGAUCAGCCACACUGGGACUGAGACACGGCCCAGACUCCUACGGGAGGCAGCAGUAGGGAAUAUUGCACAAUGGGCGAAAGCCUGAUGCAGCAACGCCGCGUGCGGGAAGAAGGCCCUAGGGUUGUAAACCGCUUUCAGCAGGGAAGAAAAUGACGGUACCUGCAGAAGAAGGUGCGGCCAACUACGUGCCAGCAGCCGCGGUGACACGUAGGCACCAAGCGUUGUCCGGAUUUAUUGGGCGUAAAGAGCUCGUAGGCGGUUCAGUUAGUCGGGUGUGAAAACUCUGGGCUCAACCCAGAGACGCCACUCGAUACUGCUGUGACUAGAGUGCGGUAGGGGAGCGGGGAAUUCCUGGUGUAGCGGUGAAAUGCGCAGAUAUCAGGAGGAACACCAGCGGCGAAGGCGGCACUCUGGGCCGGUACUGACGCUGAGGAGCGAAAGCAUGGGGAGCAAACAGGAUUAGAUACCCUGGUAGUCCAUGCCGUAAACGUUGGGCACUAGGUAUGGGAUCAUAUCAACGGAUUCCGUGCCGUAGCUAACGCAUUAAGUGCCCCGCCUGGGGAGUACGG